CCUAAUUCUAAUUCCUCCCAAGUAUGUGGUAGUCCAUUGAUGGUAUCUGUUUACACGGUGGCAGGAAACGGGACUUUUUAAGGGGUGGUGGUGCUGGGGAUGGAACCCAGAAUCUUGUGCACACAGGCCAUAUAUACUUGAUCUAGAUCCCUAUCUAUUGACCUGUUCCCCUAGCUGUGUCUGGGGUCCUUCACCCCACUCCCCAGUAAACCCCACAAACUCUCAGGCAGACUGUUCGGCCUCAUCGAUACCAUUUGACCCCUCACCACCUAGCCCUUCUGCCCUCCCUCUGCCCUUCUUGGGGAUCCUUCCUCCCCAACAAGUUAAUCAGACAAAGCUACUUCUGAUUUCUGUAUCCUCCGAUGGCUUUCCAUCAGACUCAGGAAGAAAACAACAACAACAACAACAACAACAACAAUGAAAGCCCUUCUUACGCUGUGCAGAGCUGGGAGUGAUCUAUAGCCUAUAUCCCGUG
rnacentral:lncRNA from 1 species